ensembl:lncRNA
AUAUCUCUCAGUGUCAUUAAAACAUUAAAUCCAUUAUCAUUAAAGCAACUACGUAUAUUGAUGGUAGACAUUACACCGGCCUACCUAACAGUCUAAAGGAUGUUUAUGAAGAUACGAGAGUGUCAAAGGGAAGCAAGAUGAUGCUAGAUUACCUGAGUUGUUUGAUAUAUUACUCUGAAUGUUUUGGGAAUUGGAAAUAAGAAAAAAAGAUUGCCCCCCACCGACAGUGGAGUAUGUCAGAUGGUACCUAUUUCAGAUUCCCUGUAAAGCGAAUAGUGUAUAAAAAGAACCCAUUGACAGACCUUUGGUUAAUUUUAUCAACUUUGGUUAAAACUAUAGGGGUGGUGAAUAAAUCAUUAACAGAAAAAGAAAAGAGAAAAAUUAGAAGGCAAGUUCACCCCAAAGGUAAACUGGAAUUGAAAGCCAGAAUUACAAUAUUUAAGGCAGAAUCACCUGGGAUGAUAAUACUGAGAACAACAGCAGAGGCCUGAAAAGCCCUGUGGACUCCUGGGAGUAUCAUUCAGCAACUUUUUAGGCAUAAACUGUAUAACAGCUAAUUCACUGUUCCUGUAAGUGAGUAGAACUGAGAAAUUCAUUCAGUCUUAGGCUGGUGUCUCUAUAAGUGGUAAGAAAAAUAUCUGCAAACUUUUAGAUGCAAAAAGGAGCAAAGCAAAUAGUAACAGUCUAAAAACACUAAUUUUACUUAGUUGCUUUGAAAAAAUAACUUUAGGUUAAAAGAUUCAAUGGUUAGCAGUCCUGAUCCAAAAUGUGUGCAUUACAACUUUGUUUUAGGCAUUUAUAGCUAAUAAUGCCUAGGCAGUUACAAAUAAAGUUAAAAGACAAGGGUUCAGAAAUUAUAGUCUACUGAGGCUGGAAGAUUCUGAGUUGAAAAAUAAAAUUACAAAAUUAAAGCACACAAUUUCCAAUAGUUAAAGUGUACAAUAAACAAUUUAUUGCUUAUUUUUGGCACUAGAAAAUAUAUUUAAUAAUAUAAUUUGCAGUUACACAUCCAUUACCAAGUUUAGGAAGUAAAAUAUAAUUGAAGACGCCAAUUUAUUCUUCCUAGACCUCAUUCUCUAACGUUCCUGCUUACAUAUAACCUUUACUCUAGAUUUGGAUUUAAAUUCUCACUCAACUUUUAAUAUUUAUUCUUUAUGGAGUUGUCUUCAAACAGCAUAUAAUUUAUUCUGCAUGCAUUAAAAUUAUAUUAAAGAUAUUAUACUUUAUGAUCAUCAGGAACAUGUUUUUUAGUCAAUAUUUUCAUUUUUAUUUUUUAGUUAUUUGUCUUCUGUCCUUUUAGGGCUGCACCAGCAGCAUAUGGAGAUUCCCAGGCUAGGGGUCCAAUUGGAGCUGUUGCUGCUGGGCUACACCAGAGCCACAGCAAUGCAAGAUCUGAGCCAGGUCUGUAACCUACACCAUAGCUCACAGCAACAUUGGAUCCUUAACCCACUGAGGGAGGCAGGGACUGAACAUGCAACCUCAUGGUUCCUAGUCGGAUUCAUUUCCGCUGCACCACGAUGGGAACUUCCUAGUCAAUAUUUUUCAAUAAAUUAUCCAUAUUAUUAUAAUAAGCUCCUGUUCCUUCAUUUUAGUGAGUAUAUAUUGCAGUGCUGUGUGAAUAAUACAACUUCUUGAUUUAUUCUCCUAAAUGGAUAUUCAGAUUGUUUUCAGUUUUUCAAUAUUACAAACAAUGCCAAAAUGAACAUUCUUGUUCACGUCUCCCUGGGCACACGUGGCCAUUUCUUGGGGAAAUGUAAUUGCUGAAUUAUAAUACACGUGCAUCUUCCACUUCACUAGAGAGUGUGAAAUUGCUCUCCAGAGGGGCUGUGCCAAUUUACAAAUCUGCCAGCACUGAAUGAGAGCUCCCUUUGCCCCAUACCUUACCAUUAUUUCUUGCUAUUUUUUUAAAACUUUUGCCAAUAUAAUAGGUGUAAAAUUGUAGAUAAUUAUAGUUUUAAUUUGCAUUUUCCUAGUUACUAAUGAGUUUGAGGGUUUUUUUUUUUCAUAUAUUAUUGACUUUGUGGGUCCCUUCUUCUGGGAUUUGCCUUAAUAAAACGUAAGCUCAGCAAAACCUUUUAAAGAGUGUUUGUUUUAUUUUAUUCAUAAUUUUUAACUCUUUUGUAACAGAAAUGUUUUUCAGUGUUUUGUUUGAAAUAUUACUCUAAAAUACUAAUACCUGGAUUUUGCCUUUAGCCAUUUUUUCCCUUGCAGCAUGUGGAAGUUCCCAGGCCAAGGAUCCAGUUCAUGCCACACAGCAGUGAUGUGACCCACACUGGUGACCUGAGUUGUAGCUGUGACAACACUGGAACCUUAACCCUCUGAGCCACACAAGAACUCUACCCUCAGUCAUUCUAAUUUAGCUGUUAUGUGGUGCAACCUUGCACUUUUUAGGCAGAAACUGUAUGAAAGCUAAUUCAUUGUUCCUGUGAGUGAAAUAAAAUACUCAGGUAGUUUAUAAAAUACCCAGGUAGUUCUAAGUGCACCAGUACUGGGGAACCUUUGGAUCAAGCUGAUUCUGGAUUGCUAAUGUCUCAGAAUAAAUAAAUGAACCGAUGCCCUAUUUUCCUCCUGAACAGGUGGUGAUUGCAUAGGAGAAGAAUGAAGUGAAUCAUUCAAUUUCAAAUAAAAAUGAAAUACUUUGAGUUAUUUUAUCUGAUAAAACAGCCUGUCAAAUUUGGGUAAUUAUAACACUGAGAAAUAUUUAUUCGUUUGCUGCCUAAGGUAGAAUAUUUGGGAAAGGGGAGAAAAUUAAGCUAGUCAAGCUGUUAUUGUGAGAAUAUUGAAUAUUAGGGUUAUGUAAUCACAUGAAUAGAUUUCAUUCUGGUCUAAUGUAUAGUCUUUCUAUGUACUUCUGAGAUAUGGAUUUUUCUUUACUCAUCUGGCAGACAGAAUAAACAUAAACUGGAGCCAUUACUGGUGACAGGCACUACUGGGCAGACAUGCCCAAAGCCUAAGUCUCCAGAAAAGCUCUUGCUUAAUGUACAACUUGCAUAAUUUGCUCAAUAUAGAGAUUGAUGUUUAAUAAACUGUAUCCAUCGCCUAUUUUAAAAGAAUUAAUAUCUGCCUGUGUAAACUUCAGAUCCCACUCACACAGUUUCAGAGAGAACAAUGCUCACUAUUAAAACAGUGUAACACACUAUCAGAAAGAGAAAUUAAGGAUACAAUUCCAUUUAUAAUCACAUCAAAAAUAAUAAAAUACCUAGGAAUAAACCUACCUAAGGAGGUAAGAGGCCUGUACUUGGAAAACUAUAAGAUACUGAUGAAAAAAAUUGAAGACAACAUGAAUAGAUGGAAAGCUAUAUCAUGCUCAUGGAUUGGAAGAAUACUGUUAAAAUGACAAUAAUACCCAAGUUGAUGCACAGAUUCAAGGCAAUCCAUAUCAAAAUACAGAACUAGAACAAAUUUUAAAUUUAUAUGAAUAUCCCAAAGACCAUGAAUAGCCAAAAUAAUCUUGAGGAAAGAACAUAGCUGAAGGUGACAUGGUUCCUGACUUUAGUCUAUACUACAAAGUUACGAUAAUCAAAACAGUAUAGUACUGGUGCAAAGAAAAAAAAAAAACAGACACAUAGGUCAAUGGGACAGAAUAGAGAUCCCAGAAAUAAACUCAUGCACUUAUGGCCAAUUAGUCUAUGACUAAGAGGCAUAAAUAGUCAAUGGAGAAAAAAUAGUUUUCUUAAUAAAUGGUGCUUGGUAAUUUAGACAGCUACAUAUAAAAGGAUGAAAUUAGAACAUUUUAUCACACCAUAGGCAAAAAUAAACUCGGAACAUUUUAAAGACCUAAUUGUAAGAGCAGAGAGUACAAAACUUAGAAGAAAACAGAUGGAACACUCUUGGACAUAAAUUUUAGCAAUAUUUUUUUGUAUCUGCUAAAGCAAAUAAAAGCAAAAAUAAAAAAAUGCAACUAAUUAAACUUAAAGUUUUUGCUGAGCAAAGGAAACCAUCAAUAAAACAAAAUAACCUACUGAAUGGAAGGACAUAAUUGCAAAUUAUAUGGCCAAUAACAAGUUAAUAUCCAUCAUAUAUAAAUAGCUCAUACGACUCAACAUUAAAAAAAAAGAAAAAACAAAAUGAUUUAAAAAUGAUCAGAAACUGAAUAUAUAUUUUUUCAAAGACAUACCAAUGGCCAUCAAGGACAUAAAAAAGAUACACAACAUCAUUAAUGAUCAGAGAAAUAUACAUAAAAACCAUAAUGAGACAUCAUCUCACACCUGUCAGAACAGCAAUCAUCAAAAAUUCCAUAUGUAACAAAUGUUGGAAGGAUGUAGAGGAAAGAGAACCCUCAUACACUAUUGAUGAGAAUGUGAAUUGAUACAGCCACUAUGGAAAACAUAUGGGCUUGCCUUUAAAAACUAAAAAUAGAACUAUCAUAUGACUCAGCUGUUCAUAUGAGUAUUUAUCUGUAAAAAAAAAAUGAAAACACUAAUUUGAAAAGACAUAUGCAUCCAAAUGUGCACAAUAUUAUUUACAAUAGCCAAGAUAUGGAAGGAACCUAAGUGUCCAUUAAGAGAUGAAUGGAUAAAGAUGUGAUUCACACACACGCACACACACAAACACUAUUCAACCCUAAAAAGAAUAGCAUUUUGCCAUUUUCAACAACAUAGUUGGAUUUGGAGGAUAUAAUGCUAGGUGAAAUAAUUCUGACAAAGACAAAUAUAUGACAUCAUUUAUAUUAAAUGGAAUAUUAAAAAAAAUAACUAUACAUCACAGGGAAUACAUCCAAUAUUUUAUAAUAAUGAUAAAUGGAAUAAAACCUUUAAAAAAUCUUGAAUCACUACAUUGUAAACCUGAAACUUAUAUACUAUUGUACAUCAACUAUACCACAAAAAAAGAAUAUAAAAUAAUUAAUUGUCAUUGGCCUACUUAAAAAAUGCUGGCCUGGUAGAGGGGAGAAGCUGGCAGGUGGGACCUUGGCUAUUCACACCUAUUGAUUCACAGAGCUGAGUAUAACUUCUUGCUAUAAUAUGUUCAUUUCUUUUUCCUUUUUUAUUUUAGAAAUUGUAGAUACGCUUCACUUUCUUAUCUCACAAUAUGAAGUGCUCCACGACAAUUAAAAACAUUAAUUUUCAGUCUGUGUGGUUUUAUGUCAUUCAUUGUUGAAUAUUUUAAAGUAUCACACAGUAAACGCUAUAUCAUUUUUUUAAAUUUAAGGCUAAUUAUAAACUUAUAGAAAAACUGAAAUAGUAAUAUCAAGAGUUCUCUUACAUGUCUCAUCAUAUUUCCGUAACUAUUUAAUAGCCUACAUGGUACAAUGAUGAAGAACAAAUAAUUAACAUUACAAUAUUGCUGCAAUAUUAUUAACUAACCUGUAGACCUUUCUCAAAUUU